CCUACGGUGGCUGCAGUGGGGAAUAUUGGACAAUGGGCGAAAGCCUGAUCCAGCCAUGCCGCGUGUGUGAAGAAGGCCUUCGGGUUGUAAAGCACUUUCAGUGGGGAAGAAAGCCUUGGGGCUAAUACCCUCGAGGAAGGACAUCACCCACAGAAGAAGCACCGGCUAACUCCGUGCCAGCAGCCGCGGUAAUACGGAGGGUGCGAGCGUUAAUCGGAAUUACUGGGCGUAAAGCGCGCGUAGGCGGUCUGAUAAGCCGGUUGUGAAGGCCCCGGGCUCAACCUGGGAACGGCAUCCGGAACUGUCAGGCUAGAGUGCAGGAGAGGAAGGUAGAAUUCCCGGUGUAGCGGUGAAAUGCGUAGAGAUCGGGAGGAAUACCAGUGGCGAAGGCGGCCUUCUGGACUGACACUGACGCUGAGGUGCGAAAGCGUGGGUAGCAAACAGGAUUAGAUACCCUUGUAGUC
rnacentral:rRNA from 1 species